CCUACGGGUGGCAGCAGUGAGGAAUAUUGCGCAAUGGACGGAACUCUGAACCAGCGAUGCCGCGUGCAGGAAGACGGCUCUCUGAGUGUUAAACUGUUUUCGUAGAAGGGAAAACCUCAAUACCUGUAUUCAGCUGCCCGGACUGUUCGAGUCAGGCUCGGCUAACUCCGGGUCAGCAGCCGCGGUAAUCCGGAGGAGCCAGGCGUUAUCCGGAUUUAUUGGGUGUAAAGGGAGCGUAGAUGGGUUGGUAAGUCAGUUGUGAAAGUUUGCGGCUCAACCGUAAAAUUGCAAUUGAUACUGGCAGGCUUGAGUACAGGAGAGGUAGGCGGAAUUCGUGGUGUAGCGGUGAAAUGCGUAGAUAUCAGGAAGAACACCGAUGGCGAAGGCAGCUUACUAAACUGUAACUGACAUUGAGGCUCGAAAGUGUGGGGAGCAAACAGGAUUAGAUACCCGGGUAGUC
rnacentral:rRNA from 1 species